UACAGAGGUCUCAAGCGUUGUUCGGAUUCAUUGGGCGUAAAGGGUGCGUAGGCGGCGCGGUAAGUCGGGUGUGAAAUCUCGGAGCUUAACUCCGAAACUGCAUUCGAUACUGCCGUGCUUGAGCACUGGAGAGGAGACUGGAAUUUACGGUGUAGCGGUGAAAUGCGUAGAUAUCGUAAGGAAGACCAGUGGCGAAGGCGGGUCUCUGGACAGUUCCUGACGCUGAGGCACGAAGGCCAGGGGAGCAAACGGG
rnacentral:rRNA from 1 species